GAUGAACGCUGGCGGCGUGCUUAACACAUGCAAGUCGAACGGUGAAGCUCCAGCUUGCUGGCGUGGAUCAGUGGCGAACGGGUGAGUAACACGUGAGCAACCUGCCCCUGACUCUGGGAUAACAGCCGGAAACGGCUGCUAAUACCGGAUAUGCACCAUGAACGCAUGUUCUGUGGUGGGAAAGAUUGUUCGGUUGGGGAUGGGCUCGCGGCCUAUCAGCUUGUUGGUGAGGUAAUGGCUCACCAAGGCGUCGACGGGUAGCCGGCCUGAGAGGGUGACCGGCCACACUGGGACUGAGACACGGCCCAGACUCCUACGGGAGGCAGCAGUGGGGAAUAUUGCACAAUGGGCGAAAGCCUGAUGCAGCAACGCCGCGUGAGGGAUGACGGCCUUCGGGUUGUAAACCUCUUUUAGCAGGGAAGAAGCGAGAGUGACGGUACCUGCAGAAAAAGCGCCGGCUAACUACGUG
rnacentral:rRNA from 1 species